rnacentral:rRNA from 1 species
AGUGAACGCUGGCGGUAGGCCUAACACAUGCAAGUCGAACGGCAGCACAGUAAGAGCUUGCUCUUACGGGUGGCGAGUGGCGGACGGGUGAGGAAUACAUCGGAAUCUACUUUUUCGUGGGGGAUAACGUAGGGAAACUUACGCUAAUACCUAAUACGACCUACGGGUGAAAGCAGGGGAUCUUCGUACCUUGCGCGAAUGAAUGAGCCGAUGUCGGAUUAGCUAGUUGGCGGGGUAAAGGCCCACCAAGGCGACGAUCCGUAGCUGGUCUGAGAGGAUGAUCAGCCACACUGGAACUGAGACACGGUCCAGACUCCUACGGGAGGCAGCAGUGGGGAAUAUUGGACAAAGGGCGCAAGCCUGAUCCAGCCAUACCGCGUGGGUGAAGAAGGCCUUCGGGUUGUAAAGCCCUUUUGUUGGGAAAGAAAAGCAGCAGGUUAAUACCCCGCUGUUCUGACGGUACCCAAAGAAUAAGCACCGGCUAACUUCGUG